CGUUAAAGCUUCAUUGUUUUUAUCAAAAAUACCAUUAAUUAACUGUAACCCUUCACCUGUACUGAAUGAUCUCAUAGUUAUAUGAGAGCCUAUAUGUUAGAACUAGUAACAAGAAGAAGCCCCUCUCCAAAAUGUAAGCGUAAGCCAAAAUGAACUAUUCAUUGGCAUUUAAAGUUAUAAACCUAUUGUAGCAACUUAACAAGAAAAACCUACAACUGAUAAACGUCAACCUUACACAAGCACAUUUCUGGAAAGAUAAAAAGAAUAGGAAGGAACUCGGCAAACAACUAACCCCGCCUGUUUACCAAAAACAUCGCCUCCUGAUCACCCAUAGGAGGUCCAGCCUGCCCAGUGACUAAGUUAAACGGCCGCGGUACCCUAACCGUGCAAAGGUAGCGCAAUCACUUGUUCUUUAAAUGAGGACUAGUAUGAACGGCAUCACGAGGGUUAUGCUGUCUCCCUACUCUACUCAGUGAAACUGAUCUCCCCGUGAAGAAGCGGGGAUAAAAAUAUAAGACGAGAAGACCCCAUGGAGCUUUAAACUCAGUACCAACUGCCCAAAUAAGAACCUAUUAUACUUGCAGCUAUGGUUACUAGUUUUCGGUUGGGGUGACCACGGAGUAAAAUUAAACCUCCACGAUGAAAGGAACUAAUAACCUAACCUAUGAGCUACAGCUCUAAGUAUCAACAAAUUGACUAAUUGACCCAAUUACUUGAUCAACGAACCAAGUUACCCUGGGGAUAACAGCGCAAUCCAUUUCAAGAGCUCAUAUCGACAAAUGGGUUUACGACCUCGAUGUUGGAUCAGGGUAUCCCAGUGGCGCAGCCGCUACUAACGGUUCGUUUGUUCAACGAUUAAA
rnacentral:rRNA from 1 species